GCGCAGCAGGCGCGAAACUGGCCAAUGCGCGAAAGCGUGAGCCGGCUAAUCUGAGUGGUUCCCAUCGGGAACCUUUGCCAAGUGUACAAAGCUUGGCGAAUAAGGAGAGGGCAAGACUGGUGCCAGCCGCCGCGGUAAAACCAGCUCUUCGAAUCGUGGGCAUGAUUAUUUGGCUUAAAGUGUGCGUAGCAGGGACAGGAUAAGUCUCCUGUGAAAUGCCAGGUCUUAAGCCUGGCGCGUGCGGGAGAUACUAUCCGUCUUGGGACC
rnacentral:rRNA from 1 species